rnacentral:rRNA from 1 species
UACGAAGGGGGCUAGCGUUGCUCGGAUUGACUGGGCGUAAAGGGCGCGUAGGCGGCUUGUACAGUCAGACGUGAAAUUCCUGGGCUCAACCUGGGGGCUGCGUUUGAUACUUGCGAGCUUGAGUUCGGAAGAGGGUCGUGGAAUUCCCAGUGUAGAGGUGAAAUUCGUAGAUAUUGGGAAGAACACCGGUGGCGAAGGCGGCGACCUGGUCCGAUACUGACGCUGAGGCGCGAAAGCGUGGGGAGCAAACAGG